rnacentral:lncRNA from 1 species
UGCUGAAACAUCUUCAUCAUACUCUGAAGCUGCUGCUGGAGUUCAUCGAACUUUUGACGCUGCUCUGCUUCCCUCGCUGCAGCCUCUGCUUCCCUCGCUUUAGCCUCUGCUUCCCUCGCUGCAGCCUGUACUUCUCUCGCUGCCGCCUCUGCUUCUCUUACUGCCGCAUCUGCUUUAAGCUGCUGCUGGAGUUCUUCAUACUUUCGUUGAACCUCAGCUUCUCUCGCUCCUGCAUCUGCUUUCAGUUGUAGCUGGAGUUCUUCAUAUCUUUUUUGAACCUCAGCUUCU